rnacentral:rRNA from 1 species
UUGGAGGGCAGUCUGGUGCCAGCAGCCGCGGUAAUUCCAGCUCCAAUAGCGUAUAUUAAAGUUGUUGCAGUUAAAAAGCUCGUAGUUGAAUUUCGAGACCGGUUUACUGGUCGUGCUUUUGUACGUACUGGUAUAAUCGGUUUCUCUUUUCUGGCGAACUAUAAUGCCAUUAAUUUGGUGUUAUAGGGAAUCAGGACUGUUACUUUGAAAAAAUUAGAGUGUUUAAAGCAGGC